GCUGGGUGUGGCGGCACACCCCUGUAAUCCCAGUGACUCAGGAGGCUGAAGCAGGAGGAUUACAAGUCCAAAGACAGCCUCAGCAACUUAGGGAGGCCCUAAGCAACUUAGUGAUACCCUGUCUCAA
rnacentral:sRNA from 1 species